AUUUCCAGUCACAUCAUACCAAUCACUCCUCAAGAUAAUCCCUCUCCUUCUUUUGUAUAAUCAUCUGAGAUUUUGUUUAUUCAUUCCUGUAUCAUCUUUCUCCCUUUA